CCUACGGGAGACAGCAGUGAGGAAUAUUGGUCAAUGGACGAGAGUCUGAACCAGCCAAGUAGCGUGAAGGAUGACUGCCCUAUGGGUUGUAAACUUCUUUUAUAUGGGAAUAAAAUGUUCCACGUGUGGGAUUUUGUAUGUACCAUAUGAAUAAGGAUCGGCUAACGCCGUGCCAGCAGCCGCGGUAAUACGGAGGAUCCGAGCGUUAUCCGGAUUUAUUGGGUUUAAAGGGAGCGUAGGUGGAUUGUUAAGUCAGUUGUGAAAGUUUGCGGCUCAACCGUAAAAUUGCAGUUGAAACUGGCAGUCUUGCGUACAGUAGAGGUGGGCGGAAUUCGUGGUGUAGCGGUGAAAUGCUUAGAUAUCACGAAGAACUCCGAUUGCGAAGGCAGUUCACUGGACUGCAACUGACACUGAGGCUCGAAAGUGUGGGUAUCAAACAGGAUUAGAUACCCUGGUAGUC
rnacentral:rRNA from 1 species